GUUGAAGCUUUAAGGAGGCAUUGUGGGUUCUCCUACGAGUUGCUGUCUGAGCAGUUGGUUCUCCUGGAGAAGCUCUGGUCCUCACAUCUAGCACUGCUUCCUGGCUUCAGAGGGAAGGAGAGGUGUUAAAAUGUUUCCUUUGCUUAAAAUUAAUCAGGCCUGGAAAAACUGAUACUAAAGGAGGAAAUGGAAGAAAAAGAAACCUGUGGAGCUCCCCUGCACUUCACCUCCUGAGCACUAGAAGAUACUGUAUCUAACACAUACAAAGAUGUUAUUAUUGAAGCUGGCAAUUGUUCUCUCCGGACUUACCUUGGCCCAUCCUGGCCACCAUCGGUAAUAUUUUCCUGCAUGGACUGCCCAGUUGUGCCCUAUUUAAAAGGACUAACUUAAAGGUAUUCCAGAGGCAAAUGAACUUGUCUGUUAACCUUUUGCCAAACCAGUACCUGCAUGGGGCCCUAGAGGAGAAGGCCAAGAGCUAUAAUUCCUUCCUGCUAGAUAACUGGAGUAUGAUGGUUAAUCUUGCUUGUCAGCUUGACUGGAUUCGGAAACUUCUGGAUUGUGAGGAUACUGAUCUUAUCAACAAGUUCAAAGCUGAAUGGGACAUUAGCAGGUAGGGCUCACCUGGAGGAAAUUGGUCAUGGGAGUUUGACCUCUGACCCCUUCCUCUCUGAAGCUCCUCCUCUCUGGCUUUCUGGCCAUCAUGAUAGGAACAGUUUUCUUCCACCAUGCCCUUUCACCAUAGAGUUACUGCCUUGCAACCAGCCAACCAUUAAGUGAAACCUCAGAAACUCAGCUAAAACAAAUUUCUCCUCUUCUAAAUUGUGGGUGUCAGGUCCUAGCAGUGGACAGCUGAUUAUAGAAGGAAGGACAAUCCUCUUUCUACAAACAAGUUGCAGCGAUUAAGUUCUUCAAUAAUUGGUCUCUUUUCUCCAUCCAUAUCUAAUGUAUAUACUUUUCCCAGAAAGAAAAAAGGAUUUGCUCUCUGAAAAUAUAGGAAAGAAUAUGUGACACAUCAGAGACCAGUAUAUGGUCAACAAGCACCAAGUAUCCACUAGGAAAGGCAAAGUGAGUGAAUGCAGGCAUUAAAUGUGAUGACCGGGCUAUAACAGAGUCACACGAAGUCUUGGUGGUGAUUGGCCCUGCUGCAAGUUCUGUUGAACCUUGAUUCUCAGCUUCAACUCACAACCAGAAUCUGAUUCUGGUGUUUCUUCCCCACCCCUGCAGUUAAAGGAGACAAGUUGCUUGCUACCAGUCCCUAAGUGCCUCCAGCUCUCUGGGUUCCUUUCAUCAUGAUUUAUGUAAGCAGUUUCUUCAUCAAAACAUCUUUAAAAAUCCUAUCUGAGGGUAUGGUUGGAUUCUGGUCAAGUUUCUGAUACAUCUUUGUAAAAUUACAAAACUCUGGUGACAAAGAGAAAUAUUGUAAACUUUUCAGUAUAAGUAGAGACCUGGGAGAAAUUUUGGUAGAGAAUGAUUGUGGAUUUUUCAACAGUAACAGAGGAAGCUAGAAACCUAGAGAAAAAUUUUGUACAAAUACUGAAUAAAAAAUGUCUUCAUCCUAGAAUUUGAUUUCCAGUCAGCAUAACAGUUAAAUACAAGGUAAACUGAAGACAUUUUCAGACAUUCAGGAUGUCAGAGAAUUUAAAAUUUAUCCUCGUUUUUUAGGAAGCUACUGAAAGAGCUGCUCAGUCACAACAAGAGAGCAAACAAAUGAAAAAACAAAGAGACGGGAAACAGGACCAAAGGGAUUUCAGGCCAGCAGCCACGCAGUGGGCACAGGGAGGAACUGAAUCAAUGAGAUAGAUAGGCAAGCUCUAGGAGACGACUCAAAAGGAGAAAUUAAUAGAUUGAAAAAAUACUGAAAGGAGACUGAAAUGGAGACACAAGAUGCAUUAGUAAUACAUAUAUAGAAAAAAGUAAAUAAAAGUGCAAUUAUUAAUACCAUGGAAAGUAAAAGGUGUAUAAAAAUAAAAUUAUAUUAAGCUUCCUAACUUAGCUAGGGUUAAAUGUGAGCACAUUGAUUUAAACUAAAUUACUAUACUAAAUUAUAUUUUCAUAGUUAUUAAAUAAAUUAUUUAUCAUAGAAGGUGAUGGAAAUUAGUGCAUGUGUAUAUAUAUGUGUGUGCAUGAGUAUGUAUAUGUGUGUGAAUGAGUGUGAUGUGUGUGACUCAUGAACAUGUGUGUAGAUAUAUGUGGCCAUAUGGGAAGUGAGUGGAUGGGUAUGAAUAUGUCUCUGAAUGUGUGAGUGUGUGUGUGUGUGUGUGUGUGUGUGUGUGUGUGUAGUGCUGAUGGACACAGAAGAGGUGGAGAAACAAUCUAGGCAGAAGAGCCAGUCAACCAAUAAAUAAUGCCUGAAACUUGACAAAUCAGGAAAUAUGACUGCAAAUAUGCUGUUGAGACACAUGGAAAUAAACGCAUAAAGAAUCAGCUGAAAAGAAAAAAAAGUAAUUAAUACCAGGAACAGGAAAUAAGAAGAAACUAUAGUAUAAAGGAUUGGCAUUUUAACAAUCCUUUCGUGAUUUAUUUUCCUUUUUUGUAACAAUCUUAUAAGCUUUUAAAUUAUACACAUAAUUUUAAAAAAUGUAAAGA